UCAAUACUGGACGCAAACGGGCUAAAGAAGAAGAAGAAACACAUAUCAGGACAUAUCAGGAAAGGAAGUAUAAAGGCGGUCGUAAGACUUAGAUUCAGGAACAAGGAAGAACGAAAAAGAAAAAUUGUACUCUUUAACACACAGAUAGCAGCCUCAAACACCUGUUGGAGAAAAUAUCAGAAUUGAGGAUCUCAUGGAUGAAGGAGGAAAAGAAGAAACAAUAAGAUGGAUAGGGCAAAUAAGAAGAGAAAAGAUUUGGCUGCUUUAUCAGUAACAGUUGUUUCGGAUUGGCUAUCUACAUCAGGAUUUAAAGUAGACAAUACCAAAUUUGCUUCAAAAGUUGAAUUUUUUAUCACGAACACGGCAGGUCUAUUAGAAAAAAAGAGAGAGAAAAAGGAAAACAUAAAAAUGAAACAAUCUUGCAAUAGCAUAAGGUAAAAUUAAUUAACACUAUGUCGUCCAAUGACAUCAAUGCAAUACCAUUUGCAAGCCUAACAUUAAUUGCCAAUGACAAUUAGUUUAAAGCUGAUCGACCAAAUGCUACACGUGCUGGACGGCAUAGUGUUAAGAUAUUCAACUUACCUUCCUGCAGUUUCUAAAUAUAUAUUAAUUGGUAAUUUAACAAAUUCAGCAAAAUUAAGAAUUGCUCUUAAUUCUUUCAUACAAAAUGUAAUAACUGUCUCUGCGUUAACUAAAUAUUUAUCAAAUUCACCUCUAAAUAAUACCAACUGUGUCCUUGUUAUGUUAGCUAUGUCUAUAUUAAGAAAUAAAAUGUUUUAUUUAUUAG
rnacentral:lncRNA from 1 species